UAUACAUUGUCACGCAUUAACUUACAGCCAUCUUGAAUGGACCUGGCCCUCUGGGACUUGAGAGUUAUUUCAUCCCAGAUUCAAGUCUGACAGCUUCCAGUGAGUUUAGUGAUUCACAUCUUGCAAACAGAGGUCGUCUUAACGUGGUCAAAGUCGGGAACCUGUACGGAGCCUGGUCUUCACGAGUAAACGAUGCCAACCAGUGGAUCCAGGUGGAUCUUUUGAACCGUUACAGUAUCACUUCAGUUGCGACUCAAGGGCGACAAGAUUACAACCAGUGGGUAACAAGUUACAAACUUUCUUGUAGUACUGAUUUCACGACCUUUCACACCGUGCAGGACAUCUCUACAAACCCUGCAUAUGACGAGGUCUUCACCGGUAAUGUUGACCGCAACACCAUCGUGACCAACACUCUGCCUGUACCCCAAAUUUGCCGCUAUGUCCGCUUGAUGCCUGUCAGCUGGUUCGGCCAUGUCAGUCUUCGUAUGGAGAUCUACG